rnacentral:rRNA from 1 species
CCCUUAGAUGUUCUGGGCCGCACGCGCGCUACAAUGAUGAAUUCAACGAGUUUAUAACCUUGGUUGAAAAGCCUGGGUAAUCUUUUGAACUUUCGUCGUGAUGGGGCUAGACCCUUGCAAUUAUUGGUCUCCAACGAGGAAUUCCUAGUAAGCGCAAGUCAUCAGCUUGCAUUGAUUACGUCCCUGCCCUUUGUACACACCGCCCGUCGCACCUACCGAUUGAAUGGUCCGGUGAAAUCUUCGGAUUGAGACUUUGAUUUCUUCACGGAAAACGCUGUUUUAAAAAGUUGAUUAAACCUUACCAUUUAGAGGAAGGUGAAGUCGUAACA